UACGUAGGGGGCAAGCGUUGUCCGGAAUCAUUGGGCGUAAAGCGUGCGUAGGCGGUUCGUUAAGUUCGUUGUGAAAGCCCCGGGCUCAACCUGGGAAUGGCAAUGGAAACUGGCGGGCUGGAGUAUGGCAGAGGGGGGUGGAAUUCCGCGUGUAGCAGUGAAAUGCGUAGAGAUGCGGAGGAACACCGAUGGCGAAGGCAGCCCCCUGGGCCAAUACUGACGCUCAGGCACGAAAGCGUGGGGAGCAAACAGG
rnacentral:rRNA from 1 species